rnacentral:rRNA from 1 species
GACGAACGCUGGCGGCGUGCUUAACACAUGCAAGUCGAACGGUGAAGCGCCUUCCUUUUUGGUGGGUGUGGAUGAGUGGCGAACGGGUGAGUAACACGUGAGUAACCUGCCCCCUUCUUCUGGAUAACCGCAUGAAAGUGUGGCUAAUACGGGAUAUUCUGGGUCUGUCGCAUGAUGGGUCUGGGAAAGAUAUUGUUUCGGUGGGGGAUGGGCUCGCGGCCUAUCAGCUUGUUGGUGGGGUGAUGGCCUACCAAGGCGGUGACGGGUAGCCGGCCUGAGAGGGUGGACGGUCACACUGGGACUGAGACACGGCCAAGACUCCUACGAGAGGCAGCAGUGGGGAAUAUUGCACAAUGGGCGCGAGCCUGAUGCAGCGACGCCGCGUGAGGGAUGGAGGCCUUCGGGUUGUGAACCUCUUUCGCCAGUGAAGCAGGCCUGCCUCGUUUGUGAGUGGGUUGACGGUAGCUGGAUAAGAAGCGCCGGCUAACUACGUG